GGAGGGGUGCCAGAGUGGUAAUGGAGCAGAUUGCUAAUCUGUCAACGUGCAAGCGUUGCCUGGGUUCGAAUCCCAGUCCCUCCGCAA
rnacentral:tRNA from 1 species